rnacentral:lncRNA from 1 species
ACGCAUUAAGUCGGAAUUAAACACGCAAAAGUUAAAAGAUAUCACUGAAUAAUUGACGAUUUUUGGCGCGUACAAAAUUCCAGCAGGCAGCUCGUUCUAUUUUCCGGCAAUCCGCUACAAUUUGUUGUCCGUUUCCUAAUUUUUUUAAUGUAUAUAAUUCCGGCAAGCAGCUCGUUUAUAUAUUCCAGCAAUCAGCUCGUUUAAUUUCCAGAAUUUUGCUUCUUUUCUCCAGAUUAGUCUUCCCCCAAAGCUGCCCAAUGUAUGUGUAUAUGGAAUUUAGCAGCAAGCAACGCAAUUAUGUCUAUGUAUUCAAUUCCAACACCAAAGCAGCCUCCUUUCUUUUCUUUUCUUU